AAUCCGUCACGUCCGGGGCUUUCUCUGGCAACCGCGCGAGCGUUCCCCGCAACACUGACCCAGGACCGGAGGGGCAAUGGAAUAUUCCAUUGCGCUCUUGGUGCUGGGGAGGAAAUAGGCGGAGCGAUCCAUUUAGGCCAGUGGGAAGAGGAAAAAGCAGCAAACAUAUUCUGGGAAUGGAAAGAAGGCCUCUCCAGGCUUCGUUGCCCCCAGCGACCCAAAGGUCCGAUUUCCCCUCCUUGAUUCUCCCCACUUCCCAAUACAGGCGUCUGGCUCGCAGCGGAACACGAAGUUUUCAUUCCCCAAGGGGCGGCCGGGGGGUGGACCAGGGAAAGUCCGCCACAGGUCAGCGACUUACAACUCUUCAUUCUGAAGUGCGUGUAGUGCCCUUGUCUCCAGAGACGCGGAGAGUCCUCGAGGCCCCUUGAGCUAAGUGCAACCUGGCCCAAUUUCUCCUGCCCUACUCUACUCCCCUCCCUAUAAGCGACCCACCCCCCAAGGGGCGGAGGGCGCAUAGGGAUGCGCUGACUCAUGCCCUUGUAAUUUCGACCAGUCUUUCAACCUGAGCGACCCCCACAAUCUGGUUCUCUGAGUUAUCUGUGGGUGGCUCCCUGCCGUGACCCUCAGGCGUCCCACCUCUCCGCCCAUAAUCCCUACCCGACACCCUAGAGCCUCAGGGCUUUUACUUAUUAGGGCUUUUACUUAGCAUUUAAAGACGUUUUUCUAGACAGAAGGAUUUCUCAGCUUGUCUGAACCCCUCUCUCUGUUGACAAGGUCAUUGCUUGGUCUAAAUUUGUCUCAAUCAAACCAUUUUGCGCUUGGAGUGGUGUAGAGUGACGAUGGGGUGGCGGUAAGGGGUUGAGGGCUCACGCGAACGCCUAGUGACCAGAACGACUGGUGUGAAGCCGUGAUCUGACUCUCUGGAGCCUGGGACUGGUUUCAGCGAGAGCCUCUGUACUGCUCUGUAGUCUCCGCUAGGACAUGGACGAAAAGGGACGCAGCCGGGAGAGCGACUGCCUCAGGUGGGGGCUGGGGGGGCGUAAGGGAAGAAUAAUGAUUAUCUGGCUGUGUUUUUGUUUAAAAAAAAAAAAAACUGGUGUAAAUCUACAUAGACUUCCUAUCCUUGCUCCCUUCACCCACCCACGCGCUCCCAAGAUGCAAUAAGCAAAUAAAAAGACUAAUAACGCUGUA